AUGUCAACAGUAAACACAAUUCUGAAGCGAAAUGUCCAAAUUGCUGAUCAGCUAGAACUGGACCAUAUAGUCUUAGUUUUUGACCAAGCUAUAUAUGCCAAAGCUCAGCAAAUCCGCUGGAAAGACAAUGACUUUACUCAGCGUACAGUGAUUAGACUAGGUGAAUUUCACACAUGCAUGUCCUACCUGGGCAUUCUAGGAAAAAGGUUUGGAGAUGCAGGACUGCAAGACAUACUCAUUGAGUCCGAAGUUGUUGCCCCAGGAUCCAUCAGUGGAGUGAUCAGUGGUCAUCACUACAACCGCAGCAUGAGGGCACACAAACUUCUGUAUGAGAGUCUGCAACGCAUCAGAUUUCUCACCUUCUUAGACACUCUGCCACCAGAGGAGAAAAAUGAGUGUAUGGAUGUCAUCAGUGAAAUCAAAUGUGCAUUCCAAGACAGAACCAUGGAUGUUUUGUGUGCAAAUGAAAAAUUUGAGAAAAUGUGUUCAAAAUAUGUCGACUUUGUGAAAAGAAGAAGUGCAGAAAACCCAACGUUUGCCUUCUGGAGUUCGUACAUCGACAUGGUACAGAUACUUCUUCUGUUUGUGAGAGCAACACGAGAAUCGGACUGGCAGCUUCACCUGUCAACAGUACGCUUGAUGAUGCCAUGGUUUUUUGCAUACGGUCAUGUAAAUUAUGCUAGGUAUUUACCUUCAUACUGGCUGGAAAUGGUCAAUUUGCCCCUCACACAUCCUUCUUGCCACAGCGAACUCAGUGUUAAAGGCCAGUGGACUGUCCAGCGUCAAAGUGUCCAUGGAUUUGCCUCGAUUGCUUGUGACCAGGCCAUUGAGCAAACAUGCAACAGAGAUUCCAAGACAAAGGGUGGUUGGACAGGGAUAACACAGAAUCGAGCUGCAGUAUAUCGCUGGAUAUUGUCGCAACAUGAAAGAGCAGCCAUAGCAAGACAAUGUGAGGAAAUGGCAGGUAAAUCUCCUGAUAUAAGGAAACGUAAAGACCUUGACAGCACACGAAUUCAUGCCGAUGAAAAGGCUGUGACCAGAAUAAUUUCCACUCUAGAUUCCAUGCUGAAUCCUUUUGACACACACCAAGAUGACAUUGUGUGUCUCAGCUCUGGGACAGUCGGAGCUGAAGAAAUCAUGAGGGAUUUGCUCACAGCUCUAGAAAAAGGAGAAAAAGCUGUCAAAGAGUUUAUGGACCAAAGACUGUUAUCACAAUCAGUUGAUAUAUUUGCUCCCAUCAAAAUACAAAAACUAAAGACCUUCAGUGACCAAGCAAAGCCAAAAAAAAAAUCUGCAGCAGGCAAGGAAGUGAUUCUGUGUGCCGACAAGAAGCUAUUCUCCAGACUACUCAUCAUAGGUCAAAGUAGAAAGAUAGACCUGCAGGAAAUUCUGUCCUACUCCUUGGGAACUGUGUCAUAUCCUUUAGCCAGUGCUGAUGGUUCACUUGCUAAAACAAAUAAAUCAGCUCUUUUGGAUUUAUUGGAAACCAAAGGUGGAGAAUGUUUAGUUGACAAAGUUCCGGCAGAUGGAGCUAUUCUCUUCGAUGGCAUGGCGGUCAUUCAAGCCAUUCGAUCCAUACCAAGUACCUUUGGAGAGCUCGCCGAGACCAUACUGCAGUACAUAGUCAAGCUUGCUCUGAAGCAUAACUGUACACGGAUAGACUUUGUGAUUGACCAAUAUCCAGAAAUGAGUAUUAAAAAUCUAGAACGGUCACGUAGAGCUUGGUGGUGGUACACAACUGGUGAAAAUUUAUGGACGGGAUCAGAAGACACCAACACAAUGGAACAAACAAAGAGUCACUGGCAGAAUUCCUCUAUGUUGUGUGGCAAGAUGCUGAUCUUACCACUGUGGGCAAGGACUUAA
ensembl:lncRNA